GAUGAACGCUGGCGGCGUGCCUAAUACAUGCAAGUCGAGCGAACAGAUAAGGAGCUUGCUCCUUUGACGUUAGCGGCGGACGGGUGAGUAACACGUGGGUAACUUACCUAUAAGACUGGAAUAACUCCGGGAAACCGGGGCUAAUGCCGGAUAACAUGUUGAACCGCAUGGUUCUACAGUGAAAGGCGGCUUUGCUGUCACUUAUAGAUGGACCCGCGCCGUAUUAGCUAGUUGGUGAGGUGACGGCUCACCAAGGCAACGAUACGUAGCCGACCUGAGAGGGUGAUCGGCCACACUGGAACUGAGACACGGUCCAGACUCCUACGGGAGGCAGCAGUAGGGAAUCUUCCGCAAUGGGCGAAAGCCUGACGGAGCAACGCCGCGUGAGUGAUGAAGGUCUUCGGAUCAUAAAACUCUGUUAUUAGGGAAGAACAAAUGCGUAAGUAACUGUGCGCGUCUUGACGGUACCUAAUCAGAAAGCCACGGCUAACUACGUG
rnacentral:rRNA from 1 species